GCCCCCACCCCCAGCCAGAAUCUUGGAAUUAUUUCUAUCCUUGCCUUCUCCCAGCCCCAGUUCUUCUCCAGGCACAGGAUUUCCUGCCUCUGGUUAUACCCCAGGGAUCUUUUCUUCCCAAAUGUCUUCUAAGGCUAUGGGGGUGGGGAGCUGGCAGGCAGUGGCCUUGAAUUUGCCAGGCUUCCCGCAGCAUCUCCAAAGCCUCAGCACAGCCCCGGCCCAACUGGUUCCUCCUUAGCCCACCAGGCAGGAUGCAUACUUUAGCUCCCACCGCCUCCCAUGAUGGGCCCCAGACUUCUCCCUGGCCUCCUUGCUUCUGUACCUUGUGCCCCCAUUGCCUCUCUGCUCCUCCCUGCCCCGAACUGCCUAGGAAGCCAUUCCCCUCUCGCUGUCAUUGCCUUUUAGACACAGGCUGAGACCUGGGAUCUCAUCCAAGGUCCAUGGAGUCCAGGACAGUGUGCCAUGUUUGUGUCCUCUCUUCCAGAUGAGGCUGGACCUUGAAUAGACCGAGGCUCCUUAGGAAUCAAUGUGUGCCUCACGUCUCCUUCACUGUGGCCCUGGAACUCUGCAUCAGGGGUAUCGGGCUGAGGCUGAGACCCUGACAUGCUCUAGUCUCGGGGCAGAGACUUGCUCUGCUCCUAAGCAUACUUGCAGUCUGAUUUUAGAAGGAAGAUGACAGCAUGGAUGAUGGUACCACAUACCUUAUAAGGCUCUUGGAAGUAUCAGAUGUGUUGCUAACAUGUGAAAUACUUGAACAGCCUGGCACAGAGUAAGCACCACAGAGUUGUUCAUUGUUAUGUGUAUAAAUUUUAUUUUAACAUAAUUUCACAUUUAUCCUUUA